rnacentral:rRNA from 1 species
UACGGAGGGUGCGAGCGUUGUCCGGAAUCACUGGGCGUAAAGGGCGCGUAGGUGGCCUGUGGAAGUCUGCGGUGAAAGCCCGGCGCUCAACGCCGGGUCGGCCGUGGAUACUCUCGGGCUUGAGCUUACUAGGAGGCAGAUGGAAUUCCGGGUGUAGCGGUGGAAUGCGUAGAGAUCGGAAGAACACCGGUGGCGAAGGCGGUCUGCUGGGGUAAUGCUGACACUGAUGCGCGA